rnacentral:rRNA from 1 species
AUUGAACGCUGGCGGCAGGCCUAACACAUGCAAGUCGAACGAGUGGCGGACGGGUGAGUAAUGUCUGGGAAACUGCCUGAUGGAGGGGGAUAACUACUGGAAAAGGUAGCUAAUACCGCAUACCCUCGAAUGUGCCCAGAUGGGAUUGGCUAGUAGGUGGGGUAACGGCUCACCUAGGCGACGAUCCCUAGCUGGUCUGAUAGGAUGACCAGCAAAACGGGAACUGUGACACGGUCCAGACUCCUACGGGAGGCGGCGGUGGGGAAUAUUGCACAAUGGGCGCAAGCCUGAUGCAGCCAUGCCGCGUGGAUGAAGAAGGCCUUCGGGUUGUAAAGUACUUUCGUCGGGGAGGCGUUACCCGCAGAAGAAGCACCGGCUAACUCCGUGCCAGCAGCCGCGGUAAUUC